GGCGAACGCUGGCGGCAGGCCUAACACAUGCAAGUCGAACGGAUCCUUCGGGAUUAGUGGCGGACGGGUGAGUAUCACGUGGGAACGUGCCCUUUGGUUCGGAACAACUCAGGGAAACUUGAGCUAAUACCGGAUGUGCCCUUCGGGGGAAAGAUUUAUCGCCAUUGGAGCGGCCCGCGUCUGAUUAGCUAGUUGGUGAGGUAAAGGCUCACCAAGGCGACGAUCAGUAGCUGGUCUGAGAGGAUGAUCAGCCACAUUGGGACUGAGACACGGCCCAAACUCCUACGGGAGGCAGCAGUGGGGAAUCUUGCGCAAUGGGCGAAAGCCUGACGCAGCCAUGCCGCGUGAAUGAUGAAGGUCUUAGGAUUGUAAAAUUCUUUCACCGGGGACGAUAAUGACGGUACCCGGAGAAGAAGCCCCGGCUAACUUCGUGCCAGCCGCCGCGGUAA
rnacentral:rRNA from 1 species